ACUAAUAUGAAUGUAGUUGGUUAUCACGUCAGUCUAACACACUGAAGGUCUCCGGUUCAAGUCCGGGUUCAAUCA